rnacentral:sRNA from 1 species
UUCUCUCUAACACAUCACGGAUCUGUGUCUCAGCGAUCCUGUUCACGAGGCUGAAGAGAGGCAGCUUGCUGUUUUUCUUCUUCUCUUGUGUUUCGGUUGAUUACUGGACAGUUCGACGACUUAAGGAGCCAUCACUUUUGUUUUGUUGGUGGUCUUUGGCAUCCGGUCGACAGAUCUCAGAUUAAAGGUCGGCACUGGGUGUUCGCUCUGGUCUUGAGCUCCCUUGUCUCCGGACUUGGUGAGCUCGGCUGGAGUCCCCGGCUUGCUGACGGCGUCAUAUUCCUACUCUCUUUACCGAUCAUGGCCGUCGGCCGAUGAGGUUAGGGAAUAACCAUGACCAGCCAACAUUC